UACAGAGGUCCCGAGCGUUGUUCGGAUUUAUUGGGCGUAAAGGGUGCGUAGGCGGCGGAGUAAGUUGGGUGUGAAAUCCCGGGGCUCAACCUCGGAAUGGCAUUCAAUACUGCUUCGCUAGAGUACUGGAGAGGAGGCUGGAAUUUACGGUGUAGCAGUGAAAUGCGUAGAUAUCGUAAGGAAGGCCGGUGGCGAAAGCGAGCCUCUGGACAAUUACUGACGCUGAUGCACGAAGGCCAGGGGAGCAAACGGG
rnacentral:rRNA from 1 species